UACAGAACUAACAGUUUUACCCUCACGUACGUGUCUUGGAAAAUUCAAGAAACUAUAAGAUGAAGGAACGUUCACUUUUUGUGUUUGUGCCAAGAUGAAGUAUUUUUUUAUUAUAAUGCUGAUUAUCUUGUUUCGACAACUGAAGGAAAAUUCACAGAAUGAAAUUACACUAUUUUCUACAACAUAAACAGAAUUAUGAGAAAAACCAAAGAAAGACCAAGAACUCAAGACUGCGGUGGAUUACCAGCCUGAUUACAGUGGGGCAAUAAAUUUUCAUAAUAAACGCUGUUCACAUAUA